GAAAUGCGAUAAGUAAUGUGAAUUGCAGAAUUCAGUGAAUCAUCGAAUCUUUGAACGCACAUUGCGCCCGCCAGUAUUCUGGCGGGCAUGCCUGUUCGAGCGUCAUUUCUACCAUCAAGCCCCCGGCUUGUGUUGGGGACCUGCGGCUGCCCGCAGGCCCUGAAAAACAGUGGCGGGCUCGCUGUCACACCGAGCGUAGUAGCAUACAUUCUCGCUCAGGGCGUGCUGCGGGUUCCGGCCGUUAAACGACCUUCAUAACCCAAGGUUGACCUCGGAUCAGGUAGGAAGACCCGCUGAACUUAAGC
rnacentral:misc_RNA from 1 species